CCCACAUGCGCAGAGAGACCAUAAACGGGGACAAUAAAAUGGACAGUAUCUUAGCUGGCGACGAGUGCUAAGAAGAAAGAAUAAUGAAAGGGCAUUCGGAAGUGUUGGGGGCAGGGUAGGUUUUAUAGAGAGUGGGCAGGGAAGUCCUCACUGGAAGCUUGCACUUGAACGACCUGAAGGAGAGGAAGGAGCAGGUUAUGCAGCAGUGUGGGGAACGGCAUUCCUGGCUGAAGGAACACAAGCGCCUGUGAAACACGGAGGAGGCCAGGUGGCUGGACCAGAGAGAGGAGGGGGCAGAAUAAAUAGGAAAAGAGGAACACCCACUAACUUCUUGUCGGAUCUGAGAGAGUGAAUCAGCCCUGAUAAGCUGACUGUGAAGUUCCCGACGGUCAUAAACAGGGCCAGCGCAAGGCCAACAGAAAAUAGUGUUUUUCCCAACGCCACACCACAGCUGCAGAAUGACUAACAGGGGCUGUCCUGCAGAUGGUGGUUUAAGUCAGCCUCUAUCUACAGAUGACCCUUGUCUGACCUCCCUCUCUGGAAUGCUCUGCCUGCCUCUGACUUUCAUCCCCGAGCACAUCAACACGCACUUGCGCUGGCAUUCCUGAUGAGAUCUCUUUCUCCUGAGCCCUUGAGAGAAUCCUGUUUCAGCAACUCCUAGGGAAUGGUGGAAGAGUUAUUUUUUAAAAAGAGAUUUAUCCCACACACCAAGGACAACGAUCACCUAUUUUGCACCAUUUUGUGCCUUGACUGUUU
rnacentral:lncRNA from 1 species